UACGUAGGGGGCAAGCGUUGUUCGGAAUUACUGGGCGUAAAGGGCGCGUAGGCGGCACGACAAGUCGGAAGUGAAAGCCCGGGGCUCAACCCCGGAAUAUCUUUCGAAACUGUCGAGCUAGAGUGCAGAAGAGGCAACUGGAAUUCCCAGUGUAGCGGUGAAAUGCGUAGAUAUUGGGAAGAACACCUGAGGCGAAGGCGGGUUGCUGGGCUGACACUGACGCUGAGGCGCGAAAGCCAGGGGAGCGAACAGG
rnacentral:rRNA from 1 species